UACGUAGGGUGCAAGCGUUGUCCGGAAUUAUUGGGCGUAAAGAGCUUGUAGGCGGUUUGUCGCGUCUGCUGUGAAAUUUCGGGGCUCAACCCCGAACUUGCAGUGGGUACGGGCAGACUAGAGUGUGGAGGGGAGACUGGAAUUCCUGGUGUAGCGGUGAAAUGCGCAGAUAUCGGGAGGAACACCGGUGGCGAAGGCGGUUCUCGGGCCUUACCUGGACGCUG
rnacentral:rRNA from 1 species